GUAGAGAUAAGAAUUGUUUUCUCUUCUUCUCUGAGCUUCUCCUGAAAAAAUCCUGGGAGAGAAAAUUAUGCCUCUCUCUGUCUAGAGAAUGUGAAUGCCACAAGCCUGUUAUGGAUGCAGAGAUUGGGAACCAUCAACAAGGUUUGUUGGCAAUCCCAAAAGUUUUGCUGCUUUGAUGGAUAGGCAAGAAGACUGAUCAUCAAAGAAAUAACAACCUACAAAAAACAGAGCUGGGAAGAUCUAUGAAAUUCUGAAAAUGUAAAAAGCCACGAAAGGUAAUGAGGACUGUCCCCUGACACUGAGGCGAUAUUUGCUGAUGGUGAAAUUGAGACAUGAGGAGGUGGAAAAGGAGUAGGCGUAAAGGAUUUAAGAGGAAUAGAGAGAAGACAGAACAGCGGACACAGUGGAGGAUGGAGAAUUGACAGUAAUAUUCAGCGUCUAAAUUCGCUAUUAGCUUGCAAGGAAAUGAAGUAAUACCAUUUAAAUAUAGCAAGGUGGGUUGCUGAGAUACAUGCAGAAAAUAGAGACUUCAAGAAUUUUCAAAGAAAACAUAAAUUAUAUUUUGAUGAUUGAUCUGUCCCACAGUCUUCCCAUUCUCUUAGUGCACAGAGCUGGCUGCAUGAAUGAAGAGCCAGAGAUAAGUACACAGCUUCAAAUUCAACUGCGUUUUCUUCUGAGUAUAAAAUCAUAGUUUUACAAAAAAGCACAAGCUCUCAUGACCUUGCUCAACUAUUUUUGUGUUCUAAUUCCAGCCAGGAUCUAGAUUCUGGUGUUUUUCUGAGUAUUUUACAAACCUUCAAAAAUGGUAGCCCACCCAUUCAUGUGCUAUCUGAGCCUCAGGGAGCUGAAAAGAAAACUACAGUAGUGGAUGGUUCUGAAUUUGAAUUAUCAUCUCUUAGGGCUUUGCUGUGAUAACUUUUCAUAGCCACAGAGAUUCUGAAAGCAACUACAUGUGCUUACACUAGCCACUAGCUCAUGGAACAGACUUGAUUUUUUUGCAUUCUAUUAUCCUCUUUUGUGAGCCCUCCAGUUCUGUUUGUCAGAACUUUCUGAAUCAGACUGAAAAGAUAAGGAAAUUUUCAUAGACAAUGAAAAUGUGACAUGGUAGAAUGCAACAGCCUAUGAAAAAUUAUGCAAAAAUUACAGUAAACCACAAAGAUGAUGUAUAUAGCUUUUGACCUUUUUUGUUUAUAUUCAAAGAACAAGAUGACAACAAAAGGUUCAUUCUUUGAAAAGGGGAGGAAAAUAUUAGUACUUUAAAAUUAAUAUUGUGACUUC